rnacentral:lncRNA from 10 species
GCUAAGGCCCGGCGAGAAAUAGAGCACAGCGCCGGUGGGCCGGCACUGCUGGGGGACCCGGCGCACCCUCCGCAGCUGCUGGCCCGGGUGCUAAGCCCCUCACUGCCCGGGGCCGCAGGGCCGGCAGGCGCUCCCAGUGCGGGGCCCGCCAAGCCCACGCCCACCCGGAACUCUAGCUGGCCCGCAAGCGCCCUGCGAAGCCCCGGUUCCCGCCCGUGCCUUUCCCUCCACACUUCCCCACAAGCCCAGGGAGCCGGCUGCGGCCUCGGCCAGCCCAGAGAAGGGCUACCACGGUGCAGCGGCGGGCUGAAGGGCUCCUCAAGCGCGGCCAGAAUGGGCGCUGAGGCCAAGGAGGCACCAAGAGCCAGCGAGGUCUGUGAGGGCUGCCAGCAUGCUGUCACCUCUCAAUAGCUGGGGCUGGAAACUACUCAGAAGAGGACAUGUGUGACAUGCGUGGACUUGUUAACCAUUUAUGACAAGUAGUGCAUCAAUCUAAUUCAAGAGAUUACUGAAAACAACAACCUUGCAUAUGCUUGGGGUGGUUUGGGUUUACAUGUUCAAGUAAAACAUAACAUUUCAAUGAAUAAAAUGUUGCAAUCCCAGAGGCAAAAUAUCUUUACCUCAUCUUUAAUCCUAUCAGAUAUCCUUAAACAUUUUUUGGCAGUCCUUAAAAUUGGACUGUCAGUAACCAAAACAGCAUGGUACUGGUACUAAAACAGAUAUAUAGACCAAUGAAAGAGAACAGAAGCCUCAGAAAUAGGGCCACAAAUCUACAAGCAUCUGAUCUUUGACAAACCCGACACAAACAAGCAAUGGGGAAAGGAUUCCCUAUUUAAUAAAUGGUGUUGGGAAAACUGGCUAGCCAUAUGCAGAAAACUUAAACUGGACCCCUUCCUUACACCUUAUACAAAAAUUAACUCAAGAUGGAUUAAAGACUUAGACAUAAGACCUAAAACCAUAAAAACCCUAGAAGAAAACCUAGGCAAUACCAUUCAGGACAUAGGCAUAGGCAAAGACUUCAUGACGAAAACACUAAAAGCAAUGACAACAAAAGCCAAAAUUGACAAAUGGGAUCUAAUUAAACUAAAGAGCUUCUGCUUAGGAAAAGAAAUUAUCAUCAGAGUGAACAGGCAACCUACAGAAUGGGAGAAAAAUUUUGAAAUCUAUCCAUCUGACAAAGGGGUAACAUCCAGAAUCUACAAAGAACUUAAACACAUUUACAAGAAAAAACAAAUGAGCCCCUCAAAAAAUGAGAGAAGGAGAUUGACAGACACUUCUCGAAAGAAGACAUCUAUGCGGCCAACAAACAUAUAAAAAAAAAUGCUCAUCAUCACUGGUCAUUAGAGAAAUGCAAAUCAAAACAACAAUGAGAUAUCAUCUCAUGCCAGUUAGAAUGGCUAUCAUUAAAAACUCAGGAAACAACAGAUGCUGGAGAGAAUGUGGAGAAAUAGGAACACUUUUACACUGUUGGUGGGAGUGUAAAUUAGUUCAACCAUUGUGGAAGACAGUGUGGCGAUUACUCAUGGAUCUAGAAUAAGAAAUACCAUUUGACCAGCAAUCUCAUUACUGUGUACAUACCCAAAGGAUUAUAAAUCACUCUACUAUAAAGUCACAUGCACACGUAUGUUUAUUGCAGCACUGUUCACAAUAGCAAAGACUUGGAACCAACCCAAAUGCCCAUCCAUGAUAGAUUGGAUAAAGAAAAUGUGGCACAUGUACACCAUGGAAUACUAUGCAGCCAUAAAAAUGAUGAGUUCAUGUCCUUUGCAGGGACAUGGAUGAUGCUGGAAACCAUCAUUCUCAGCAAACUAACACAGGAAGAGAAAACCAAACACCACAUGUUCUCACUCAUAAGUGGGAACUAAACAAUGAGAACAUAUGGACACAG